rnacentral:lncRNA from 1 species
UGUAUUCUUUGGUCGGUAAACUUUUAGCAAUAAAUAGCUGUAUGAGUUUCCGAAAUACAGGGUGAUUCUUUGAGAAUGUCCAAUCUCUGAGUUGUAGAUUCUAGACCUCAAAAUAUUAAGAUUUAACCCAAAAAAACUCAAAUUCAAUGUGGCUCCUUAAUCUUCAUUGUCCACCCCAGGCACAAGCAUUGUGAGCUCAACAUCCAUAGAUCUGGCAGCCUACCCAGGUUCUGACGAUGUCACUUUAUCUAUGGCUGUUUUCAUAGCAUCUCUCGACCACUCUCCUCUUUUUGUUUUUUUCUUGUAAGUAAGUACCAUGGUAUCAUCUAAAACAAUAAUCCAAUGUUAUUUAUUAAGAAAUUUAAAUUAGCCCAGACUUACCACCAAUUUCCCAUCAUACCCCGCACAUAAUACCCCAUCUUGCCUCAAAAGGUAACUUUGAACAAAAAAAAAA